rnacentral:lncRNA from 1 species
GAGCCAAGAACACAAGGUACAAGUGGAGCCCAAGAGUGACCAGGCUACCCUACAGGUUCCCGUCAUCUCUCUAUCUAGGCAGGCACUGAUGCCAGCACACAGUCAACCAGCCAGCCAGUCAGCCAGCCAGCAGCGUCUAGUGUAUUCUCUACCUGCUUCACUCCCUUCACAGACCUAGCCAGGACAUGGUGAGGACCAAGGAGAAUAGUGAACGUGCUGGUAAAAGGGACAGCUGUCUCAUCCCUGCAAGGCCAAAUUCGGCCUGCUGUUGCCAGGAACGACACUUCCCCCCUUUUGAGAUCCUCGGUGGACACCACUCCAAAGGAGACACUUCCCUUACAAAGAACGCUCACAAGGUGUGUAAGCCAGAGGACGCCCACCAAAGGCUUUUCCACCAAAGGCAUGUUGGUGAUCUGACUGGCAGGAAGAGCAGGCUGAACACACUUUUGGGGCUCUGGUAGUUAUACCAGGGGCCAGCCAGACUCUCUUAACAGAGUCCACCAUGCCCGGGGUACCAAAGUGGCCAUUAGGAUGAACAGAUUGGUAAAUUUGGUGAUGGAAACUUCUAGGGAGCAGGGGUUUUCCUUCAGAUGACACCCACACUCCAUGAAUUGGUUUUGCUUUGAAUUUUCCUUUCCAUUUCUCCACUUCCUUUUCAUUAUAGGAAAGUGAUCAAUUUAAGUCAUCAGUGGUUGUUCAUGUUCAAAGUAGUUCAGGCCCUCCUAUGGCUGCUAGCUUGGCAGCAGCAUCUGCUCAGUCAUGUCCCCUGGAGACAGGGUCAGUGCCACCUCUAUGGGCACAGCAGUGAACUAGAGCCAGGGCUUCAGGCAGCGGGAGAGCAGAAAGAACUUCCUUAAUCAUUUCUGCAUCCGCUAUGGAAGGAGAAUACUGAGAGCACAGGGUGGAAGGCAGGUGUGUGACUGCUCUAAGGCAAAGUGGGCCACUCACGGCCAAGGUCCACUCAUAUUUAUGCCUGAGACGUCAGGAUGUGUACGAGGCUUGGGGUCCAACUUGCACAGAGCUCUAAAAGCUUAUUUCAAAACCAUUAAAAAAAAAAAAAACCCUCCUCGGAUGCAAUACCAAUAUGUGGCCUCAAGAGGGAGACCAAGAGGCGAAGGGGGUGGGGGAGGGGGAGCUGAGCACCUGAGGAAGUUGGGGACCUGGGAGUGGGGCUACUGAAGGAGGGGACUUUCUGGUGGGUGUCCCCCAGGGAGAGGAGGGGCAGUGUGGGAGGCGGGCAAUUGAGAGGGAGGGGCAGCUUUCAGGGGUAGGCCUGCCUAUGGAGCUGACCAGUACAGGCAGCAGGCG